rnacentral:lncRNA from 1 species
UUUGGGAUCAACACGUUGAUCAACACCAGCGAGAACACUAGAUUGGUGUCGUUGGCCUUGCUGAAGACCAUGUGCUUUGUCAGGAAUAAAGAAAUGUCGGACUGGUUACUAAAGGGUUCGUGAAUUUCCAUUGUUUAUGAGGUUCUUGAGUGAGAGAAUAAAAUGCUGGUAGUAGUAGUAGUUUGAUGAAUGUGAAUUUAUUAUGGUGCUUACGAUCUCAUUCAUGUUAUUUUAUUGUUUGAGUGUUGAAAUAAUGUAAUUACUCAGUUGCUUCUUUGGUACAUCAAUUACCAUAGUAUGCAUGUAGUUCCAGAAUCGAAUUUAUACCAAAAAAUACUCAAUGCAUAAAUCAAGAUUUUCUCAAAACAAAUCAGAAAAUAAGAACACGAGAGAUUUUUCGAUUAAAGGCCCCAAAGGUUCAGUGAUCGCUUCUAAUGCUUAGUCCCCCGUUGAGCAUCCAUAAAGGAUUAAGUUCGAAUCCACUAAAAAUCGGCCACAAAUAGGCAAAGUACAAUUUACAGAACACUCAGUUUCAGAUCACAGAGAAACAACUUAAUCUUCUCUUAAUAGAAACUCACGUAAGAGUUUCUUUACAGAUUCUCUCAAAAUAACACUCAGUAUUUCAGAGAAAAACUCAAGAUCAGAAACGAAGGAGAGAAAACGGCACGCAGCUAGAAAACCCUCAGAAUACUAAAAGCUAACCCUAAAAAUCUGAGGCUUCCUAUUUAUAUGAAAGAUAAAGAUCCAAUGUCCACCGAUUUUCCACUUGUCAUUGAUCCAAGAAAAAUGCUCCUUUUGGCCAGAAAAUGCUCAAUUCAACAGCCUUGAGAAAAUGGGCUCACAUCACAAAAUGCAGCAACACAGAAACUUACAAUCUCCACCUUUGCUGUAUUUUGUGCCUGCAUCUAUGUGGAUUCUAACUUAGUCUUUUAUUUCAUUUGCUCUGAUCACUUGUUUACAAAAAAAUUGUUAGCAAGUUUCGAGAUUUAAUAAUCUCAAACAAUGUGAAAACUUACAAAGUGGUAUUACCUUUAUCCUAACAUCAGUAGGAUUGACCAUAGUGGGUAUAUAAAUCAGUUUAAUACCCCCUUUAUCAAUUAUAUCUCUAAUGAAAUGAAAUUUAACACAAUGUGCUUUGACCUAUCAUGAAAAUUUGGAUUUUUAAUUAAGAAAAUAGUACUUUGAUUAUCAGAACAUAACUCUACCUAACAUUCUAUAAGACCUAAUUCAUUUAACUGUCCUUUCAGCUACAGUCCCUCUUUAACAGCUUUAGUGGCAGCCAUAUAUUCUAUCUCAGUAGAGGAUAAGGCAACUAUUUUCUAAAGUUGUGACUUCCAGCUAAUGGAAGUAUUGUUUAUGACAUAAAAAUAUGCAGAAGUAGACUUUCUAUUAUCUAGGUUUCCAGCAAAAUCUGAGUCAACAUAACCUUUUAGUUUAAAACAAUCUUUACUUGUUUCAAACAUAAGUCUUAGAUUACAUGUGCCUUUCAGAUAUUGAAUCAGGUUUUUCAUGUAUUUCCAAUGAAACUCACCUAGAUUACUCAUGAAUCUACUUAAUACACUUACAACAUAUGCUAUAUCAGGUCUAGUACAUACCAUUACAUAUAUAACUGAUCCAACAACAUUAGCAUAGGGCACAUUUACCAUUUUUUAAAUUGUUCUUCUGUGUUAGGUGAUUGCUCAACAGAUAAUUUCAUGCAAGCAGACAAAGGUAAACUAAUAGGCUUGGCAUUCUCAAGAAAAAAUCUUUUGACCACUUUUUCAAUGUAAGAUUUCUGAGUUAAAAAUAUUUUUCCAUAAAUAUUUAAUCUCUUAUAAUUUCCAUGCCUAAAAUCUUUCUUGCAAGGCCCAGAUCCUACCUUUCAAAUUCCAAUUUCAAAUUUUCUUUUAUGGAAUUAAGAGUAACAGAAUUGUGACCAGCCAACAACAUAUCAUCAACAUAUAAAAGAAGGUAAAAGAAUUCAGAAUCAUUAUUCCUCUUAAAAUAAAAACAAAGAUCAAAGUCUGAUUUCUUGAACUCUAGGCCUUGUAUAAAAGAAUCGCAUCUCUUAUACCAUUGGCUAGGAGUAUGUUUUAAGCCAUAUAGUAAUUUAUUUAGGAGACACACUAGAUUGCCAUUAUUUUUUACCCCAAACCCUUUAGGCUGUGUCUUAUAUUUGGUUUCAUCUAAAGAACCAUACAAGAAGACAGUCUUUACAUCAAGUUGCUCCAGUUCCAUAUCAAACUGGGUAACAAUGGCAAGGAGAAUUCUAAUAGAGGUGUAUUUAACUACAGGUGAGAAAAUUUCAGUAAAGUCUAUCCAUUCUCUUUGUGUGAAGCCUUUAGCUACAAGCCUUGCCUUAUAUCUUUUAUUAGAUAUAUUUGAAUCCCCCUUUUUAAUCUUAUACACUCAAUUACAGUUAACUAGUUUACAUUCUUCAGGUUUCUUAACCAAUUCCCAAGUUUUAUUUUUAUACAAGGAGUUUAUUUCAUCUUCCAUGGCUUCUAUCCAUUUUGAUGACUCUUUUGAAGAUAUUGCUUUCUCAUAGGAGGUGGGCUCAAGAUCAGAGGGCUUAAAAUAUAUUUCAGCAGAUACAUAAUCUGUAUAUUGACAUCUGGAAGGAGGUCUUAUUUCCCUCCUUUCCCUAUUUCUUGCAAGCUGAUAAUUUUGCAGCUCAUGUGCUGGGCUUAAUUCUUGAUUAUCAUUCAGAAUUUCAACAUCUAAAUUGUUAUUAAGCUCUGUUUGAGGCCGCUCCACCUCAAAUCAAGUCUACCUAUCAAUAUUUUCUUUGUUCAACUCAAUUUCUGUGAUAAUAAAAUCAUCAUCCUUUAUGUUUUCAUGGGUUUUGUCACUAAGACAUGGAAACUCAUCCUCAUUGAAAAUCACAGACCUACUUAUUAUCACCUUAUAACCUCUAGUAUCCCUUAACCAAAGUCUAUAGCCUUUAACUCUCCCUCCAUAUCCUAAGAAGACACCCUUUUUUGACCUAGGAUCCAAUUUUGAGUCAUUAUGAUGUGCAUAUGCAGCAAAACCAAAAGUUCUGAGGUAGGAGUAGUCAGGCAUAGAACCAGACCAGAUCUGUUCAGGGAUUCUAUUAUUUAAGGAACUACAGGGUCAUUUAUUCAAUAAGUAAUAGGCUGUCUUUACAACUUUCCCCCAAAAUAUUUUAGGCAUGCUAGAACUAAUCAGCAUACACCUGGUCCUCUUAAGAUUAGUUCUAUUUAGUCUCUCAACAACCCCAUUUUUCUGAGGUGUAUAGGUAACAGUUUUAUGUCUCAAUAUGCCUUGAUUGCUGCAGUAUUGAUCAAAUUCUGUACUGCAAAAUUCCAGCCCAUUAUCAGUUCUAAGAUUCUUAAUCUUCUUGCUUGUUUAGUUUUCAAUUAAUGUACACCAUUGUUUAAAUAUUACAAAAGUAUCGGAUUUUGAUUUAAGCAAGAAAAUCUAGGACUUCCUGGAAUAAUCAUCUAUGAUUAAUAGGUAAUAUCUAUACCCAGACACUGUAGACACUGGUGCAGGACCCCACAAGUCACUGUGUAUAUAUUCCAAAAUAUUUUGAGACUUGUGUAUACCUACGCUAAAAGGUAACCUUACUUGUUUCUCGAAAAUACAAUAUUCACAAAAAGUUAGUUUUUGAACAUGGUCCUUUUCAAAUGCCCCUUGAUGAGAAAGAGAUUUUAAACCCUUUUCACCAAGAUGGCCAAGUCUCUUGUGCCAGAGUUCUGACUUAACAGAAUGUGCAACAAGAGUCACAAGAUUAUUCUUUGGUUUAGGUUUGGUGUCAAUAAAAUAGAUUCCAUUAAUUUUUGGGGCACUAAUAAUGGGCUUUUGAUCUUUGAUUAAAACCAUUCUUGAUUUCAACAUAAUAAUUCUAAUCAUCAAGAACACAUAGAGAGAUUAAAUUCCUACUUAGUGCUGGUACAUAUCUUGUAUGUUUCAGCAUUAAGUAAUGGCCAUAUUUUAAUUUCAGAAGGAUAUUGCCUAUGCCUCUAAUUUGGCAUGAUUCAUUAUUACCAAAUUUUACAAAACCUUCAUUAAGGUCAGAGAAGUUAGAGAACCAACCUUUAUUGGGGGUCCUAUGAAAAUAAUAACCUGAAUCCAAAACCCAGUUCUGAUAAGUUCUUUCAGUAACAGAUACAUAAGCAACCCCAAUGUUGGCUCUUGCUUCUUUACAAGGGAUAGCCAUGGACGAUGACCCAAUCUCAAAAUUGAGAUUAUUUUUCUGGUCAAUGGCUUUCUUGAAGCAAUCUUUGAUAAAAUGACCUAACUUCCUACAAUAAUAGCACUUUUUGUUUUUUGUCUUGGUCUUAUUAAAUUUCUUAUCCUUUCCUUUACUAUUAUUGACCCAUUUUCUUUUUACAAAAUUUCUAUCCUUGUAGUGAUUAGAUUGACUAAAGUUACUAACACCAUUAGUUUGAGAUUUCUGAUUUGUAGCGGCAUUUUCAACAUAAAAUACCUCCUUAUGUUCAGAUUUCAAUUCUUGCUCCUUAUUCAGAAGAGAGCUAUGGAUAAUUUCAACUGUCAAGUUACUCCUACCAGAUACCAAGGCAUUUCUGUCCCCUAAGGCUUUUAGCAGGCCUACUACCUUUUGCUCAUUUGAGAUCCUUUCUUCACAAUUUAUAAGUUCUUGUGUGAUCUUAUUAAAUCUAUUCAUGUUUUCUUCUGUAUCAAGAUUGUGAUCAAACUUAAAACUAAAGAAUUGCCCCCAUAGAAAACAUUUAUUUGGUAGUCUUAGUUAGGUACUGUUUUUCUAAGGCUGUCCAUAAUUCUGCAGCAGUCUUAGUUUUUCCUACUUUUCUAAUCACAGAGUCAGAUAAGUGUAAGAACAUAGUACUCCAAGCUAGCUCAUCUUGUUCAAUUUUUCUAUUUUUAGGUAGGUUUUCAGGCCAAUAUUCAUCAACAACUUUAACACAUUUUAAUUGUAACAGUAAGGCUUUAAUUUUCUGGCGUCAGAGACUAAAGUCUCCUUUGCCAUCCUAAAUCUGAAUAUCUACUUUUGAAUUCAUAGCAAGCAACAAUAUCCAAAUUGUGCUCAAGUGUGAUAUGUACAAUAAUUUGUCACGCAAGUCAAUACAGUAUAUGUCAAACAUGAUGUAGAAAGAUCUAACAAGAAGGAUCCCAAAUAGCAUACAAUGCAGAAAUAUUGUAGGGCCAAAAAAUAUACUUACACUAAGUAAGCAGAAGGAAAGUUCUCAACAUGUAUACCUUCACAAGAGCAUGUACAUGUGAUGAGAUAUUUCUUAAUUGAACACGAAGCCAAAAAAAAAAAAAUAUCACACCGUUAAUAUCAUCCAAUAGUUUUAAAAAAAACGAGAAUAUGAAUUCAAGUUAUAAAAAUACACACAGUAUUAAACUAAUAAGAAUUAAAAAAUUGAAAAUUCUGGUUUCUUGAAUCGAAAGAUCCCUGGAUUCCCUCAGAUUCUAGGGUUCUCUUAAGGAAACCUAGACAAAGGAAAAUACAGAGUAGAUCAAGUCGAACCAGACUCCUUUUCUUUUAAAAGCUACCAACAAAAAUGUUGUAGGAUGAAAGAAGAAAGAACUCCAAGAAGAUAUAUAAAAAUAAUAACAAAGGCAACCCAAAUUUUUUUUUCGAAUGUUGGCAAAUUUUUUUCAGAUCUGCCCAUUUUCUUUAGGCCAAGAGAAUCCCCCUUUGAGAUUCAAGUUUCAGAAAUUAGGUUUUGAGAAAACUGAAUUUAAGCAAAAAAUUUCAAGCUCUAAUACCAUUGUAGUUUCAGAAUCGAAUUUAUACCAAAAAAUACUCAACGCAGAAAUCAAGAUUUUCUCAAAACAAAUCAGAAAAUACGGCCAAAGGUCCCGGAAGUUCAGCGACCACUUCUAACGCUUAGUCCCCCGUUGAGCAUCCAUAAAUGAUUAAGCUCGAAUCCACUAAAAAUCGGUCACAAAUAGGCAAAGUACAAUUUACAGAACACUCAGUUCUAGAUCACAGAGAAACAACUCAAUCUUCCCUUAAUAGAAACUCACGUAAAAGUUUCUUUACAGAUUCUCUCAAAAUAACACUCAGUAUUUCAGAGGAAAAAUCAAGAUCAGAAACAAAGAAGAGAGAACGACACUCAGCCAAAAAACCCUCAGAAUACUAAAAGCUAACCCUAAAAAUCUGAGGCAUCCUAUUUAUAUGAAAGAUAAAGAUCCAACGUCCAUCGAUUGGCCAUUUGUCAUUGAUCCAAGAAAAACGCUCCUUAUGGCCAAAAAACUCAUUUUAGAGAUAUAAUUUUAGCCUUCUAGAUUCUUCCUUUGCAGGUCAUGAUAACGGGCCAUUUAUUUGGGCUCAAUUCAAUAGCCUUUAGAAAAUGGGCUCACAUCACAAAAUGCAGCAAUCCAACAACUUACAAUGCAGAAUGUUAAAAAUGUAUUGGAUGAUAUUUUAUAAAUGAAAUUUAAUAAUAGAUGUCUUAGGUUGGACUUUGGACGGAAAAUUUUUAAUAUUUGAAAAUUGAAAUAUGAACAACUUUUGUGUGAAUAGUGCUCUCCUCGUGUAUANNNNNNNNNNNGACGAUGACCCAAUCUCAAAAUUGAGAUUAUUUUUCUGGUCAAUGGCUUUCUUGAAGCAAUCUUUGAUAAAAUGACCUAACUUCCUACAAUAAUAGCACUUUUUGUUUUUUGUCUUGGUCUUAUUAAAUUUCUUAUCCUUUCCUUUACUAUUAUUGACCCAUUUUCUUUUUACAAAAUUUCUAUCCUUGUAGUGAUUAGGUUGACUAAAGUUACUAACACCAUUAGUUUGAGAUUUCUGAUUUGUAGCGGCAUUUUCAACAUAAAAUACCUCCUUAUGUUCAGAUUUCAAUUCUUGCUCCUUAUUCAGAAGAGAGCUAUGGAUAAUUUCAACUGUCAAGUUACUCCUACCAGAUACCAAGGCAUUUCUGUCCCCUAAGGCUUUUAGCAGGCCUACUACCUUUUGCUCAUUUGAGAUCCUUUCUUCACAAUUUAUAAGUUCUUGUGUGAUCUUAUUAAAUCUAUUCAUGUUUUCUUCUGUAUCAAGAUUGUGAUCAAACUUAAAACUAAAGAAUUGCCCCCAUAGAAAACAUUUAUUUGGUAGUCUUAGUUAGGUACUGUUUUUCUAAGGCUGUCCAUAAUUCUGCAGCAGUCUUAGUUUUUCCUACUUUUCUAAUCACAGAGUCAGAUAAGUGUAAGAACAUAGUACUCCAAGCUAGCUCAUCUUGUUCAAUUUUUCUAUUUUUAGGUAGGUUUUCAGGCCAAUAUUCAUCAACAGCUUUAACACAUUUUAAUUGUAAUAGUAAGGCUUUAAUUUUCUGGCGUCAGAGACUAAAGUCUCCUUUGCCAUCCUAAAUUUGAAUAUCUACUUUUGAAUUCAUAGCAAGCAACAAUAUCCAAAUUGUGCUCAAGUGUGAUAUGUACAAUAAUUUGUCACGCAAGUCAAUACAGUAUAUGUCAAACAUGAUGUAGAAAGAUCUAACAACAAGGAUCCCAAAUAGCAUACAAUGCAGAAAUAUUGUAGGGCCAAAAAAUAUACUUACACUAAGUAAGCAGAAGGAAAGUUCUCAACAUGUAUACCUUCACAAGAGCAUGUACAUGUGAUGAGAUAUUUCUUAAUUGAACACGAAGCCAAAAAAAAAAAAAAUAUCACACCGUUAAUAUCACCCAAUAGUUUUAAAAAAAAACGAGAAUAUGAAUUCAAGUUAUAAAAAUACACACAGUAUUAAACUAAUAAGAAUUAAAAAAUCGAAAAUUCUGGUUUCUUGAAUCGAAAGAUCCCUGGAUUCCCUCAGAUUCUAGGGUUCUCUUAAGGAAACCUAGACAAAGGAAAAUAUAGAGUAGAUCAAGUCGAACCAGACUCCUUUUCUUUUAAAAGCUACCAACAAAAAUGUUGUAGGAUGAAAGAAGAAAGAACUCCAAGAAGAUAUAUAAAAAUAAUAACAAAGGCAACCCAAAUUUUUUUUUCGAAUGUUGGCAAAUUUUUUUCAGAUCUGCCCAUUUUCUUUAGGCCAAGAGAAUCCCCCUUUGAGAUUCAAGUUUCAGAAAUUAGGUUUUGAGAAAACUGAAUUUAAGCAAAAAAUUUCAAGCUCUAAUACCAUUGUAGUUUCAGAAUCGAAUUUAUACCAAAAAAUACUCAACGCAGAAAUCAAGAUUUUCUCAAAACAAAUCAGAAAAUACGGCCAAAGGUCCCGGAAGUUCAGCGACCACUUCUAACGCUUAGUCCCCCGUUGAGCAUCCAUAAAUGAUUAAGCUCGAAUCCACUAAAAAUCGGUCACAAAUAGGCAAAGUACAAUUUACAGAACACUCAGUUCUAGAUCACAGAGAAACAACUCAAUCUUCCCUUAAUAGAAACUCACGUAAAAGUUUCUUUACAGAUUCUCUCAAAAUAACACUCAGUAUUUCAGAGGAAAAAUCAAGAUCAGAAACAAAGAAGAGAGAACGACACUCAGCCAAAAAACCCUCAGAAUACUAAAAGCUAACCCUAAAAAUCUGAGGCAUCCUAUUUAUAUGAAAGAUAAAGAUCCAACGUCCAUCGAUUGGCCAUUUGUCAUUGAUCCAAG